UGGAUCCAGACUUUGAUCCUGGCUCAGGAUGAACGCUAGCUACAGGCUUAACACAUGCAAGUCGAGGGGAAACGACAUCGAAAGCUUGCUUUUGAUGGGCGUCGACCGGCGCACGGGUGAGUAACGCGUAUCCAACCUGCCCACCACUUGGGGAUAACCUUGCGAAAGUAAGACUAACACCCAAUGAUAUCUCUAGAAGACAUCUGAAAGAGAUUAAAGAUUUAUCGGUGAUGGAUGGGGAUGCGUCCGAUUAGCUUGUUGGCGGGGUAACGGCCCACCAAGGCAACGAUCAGUAGGGGUUCUGAGAGGAAGGUCCCCCACAUUGGAACUGAGACACGGUCCAAACUCCUACGGGAGGCAGCAGUGAGGAAUAUUGGUCAAUGGACGAGAGUCUGAACCAGCCAAGUAGCGUGCAGGAUGACGGCCCUAUGGGUUGUAAACUGCUUUUAUAAGGGAAUAAAGUGAGUCUCGUGAGACUUUUUGCAUGUACCUUAUGAAUAAGGACCGGCUAAUUCCGUGCCAGCAGCCGCGGUAAUACGGAAGGUCCGGGCGUUAUCCGGAUUUAUUGGGUUUAAAGGGAGCGUAGGCCGGAGAUUAAGCGUGUUGUGAAAUGUAGACGCUCAACGUCUGCACUGCAGCGCGAACUGGUUUCCUUGAGUACGCACAAAGUGGGCGGAAUUCGUGGUGUAGCGGUGAAAUGCUUAGAUAUCACGAAGAACUCCGAUUGCGAAGGCAGCUCACUGGAGCGCAACUGACGCUGAAGCUCGAAAGUGCGGGUAUCGAACAGGAUUAGAUACCCUGGUAGUCCGCACGGUAAACGAUGGAUGCCCGCUGUUGGUCUGAAUAGGUCAGCGGCCAAGCGAAAGCAUUAAGCAUCCCACCUGGGGAGUACGCCGGCAACGGUGCAACUCAAAGGAAUUGACGGA
rnacentral:rRNA from 1 species